rnacentral:lncRNA from 1 species
GCAGCUAUUUGCUUAUGCAGCUACGUGCCAAGCCUGGUGAAAGAGGCUGUAUUUCUCCCUGAUUUAGUUCUCUCCCCCAGGCCUCACUCCAAAGGUGAAGGGAAUUGGAAAGUGAACUCACUAAGAUCCAGACGAUGACUUCAGAAAACCACCACCAAACCAAGGGACUUCAGUACUGAGCAGGCAUGUCCUGCUCCUCAAAGCCACUCACAUAUGUGUCCUCAUGAAGGGAAAAAAUGGAAAAUGGAGGCAUAAGAAAAGAAAUUGGAGGUCUCUCCAGUCAUAUGUGCAACAGAGACCCCAGUCCUGAGGCAAACUGGAGAGCCCUCUAUAGCAGAAAGGAACCAAGAAUUUCCUCCAGAGCAUUUGAUGAUUAUCUAUAGACUAAGAAGUCUUUUUCCCAAAAAAGGAAAUAUGGCAUCAUUUCACUAUAGAACGAAAGAAGCAUAAGGAAUGGUGAGUACCCAGUGUAUUUGAUUGUAGGAGGCAGCUGAGCCAAAGUUAACAGGUCCCACAAACCCUGUAUAUGGCUGGUCUUUUAACAUAUCCUAAACACACAGGAUCACUUCCCUUGAUUACAUGUGACUUGGGUCCAGCCUUAAUGUUCCAGAUGCAGACAUCUUGUCUUCCCAACUAAAUGAUAAAGCUCUUUGAUGACCAUGUCUUGUAGUUUACUGCAUCCCACAGAACCUAGCAUGGUGUAUCUCAGUGUAAAACAUCAUAGGCUUGGAUUUGAAUCCCACAUAAGCCUUUUCACGGAUGGGCCACCUUGGACAAGUCAACCCUUCUGAGACAUCUUCUUCUCAUCUCUAAAGUUAGGAAAAUAAUACUAGCUGACAAGGAUGUUGUUAGAGAUAAAUGGGGUAACAAAGAUGAAGGGUUCACUUACCUAACAGUGGACAUGACCAUAACACUUUGUGCUGCUCUAGGAAGGGAGGAUGUUGAACAGUGUUGUCUUCACAUCCCUCCUCAAUGGAAAAACUUCUCUUCAGCUCUAAACCAAUUUGACCCAAACUGACAAAGAUUCUUACUCCCCAAAAGUGCAAAAGGAAAUGCCCCUUUCUGCAUGGAAAGGUGAGGCUGAUCAAAAGCAGCUAGGAAGACCACUAUACCAAGAGGCCAGGGGCAUUUAGGCAGAAAGAACAACCUGGAG